GUUCUAGUAACUCAGUUGGUUAGAGUGCGGGUCUUAUGAGCCCGAAGUCGCGGGUUCGACCCCCGCCUAGAACA
rnacentral:tRNA from 1 species